CUAGUAAUCGCAGAUCAGAAUGCUGCGGUGAAUGCGUUCCCGGGUCUUGUACACACCGCCCGUCACACCACGGAAGUUGGGGGCGCCCGAAGCCACUUAGCUAACCCUUUUGGGAAGCGAGUGUCGAAGGUGAAAUCAAUAACUGGGGUGAAGUCGUAACAAGGUAGC
rnacentral:rRNA from 1 species